GAUGAACGCUGGCGGCGUGCCUAAUACAUGCAAGUCGAGCGAACGGACGAGAAGCUUGCUUUUCUGAUGUUAGCGGCGGACGGGUGAGUAACACGUGGAUAACCUACCUAUAAGACUGGGAUAACUUCGGGAAACCGGAGCUAAUACCGGAUAAUAUUUUGAACCGCAUGGUUCAAAAGUGAAAGACGGUCUUGCUGUCACUUAUAGAUGGAUCCGCGCUGCAUUAGCUAGUUGGUAAGGUAACGGCUUACCAAGGCAACGAUGCAUAGCCGACCUGAGAGGGUGAUCGGCCACACUGAAACUGAGACACGGUCCAGACUCCUACGGGGGGCAGCAGUAGGGAAUCUGCCGCAAGGGGCGAAAGCCUGACGGAGCAACGCCGCGUGAGUGAUGAAGGUCUUCGGAUCGUAAAACUCUGUUAUUAGGGAAGAACAUAUGUGUAAGUAACUGUGCACAUCUUGACGGUACCUAAUCAGAAAGCCACGGCUAACUACG
rnacentral:rRNA from 1 species